rnacentral:tRNA from 1 species
UGCCCCAUGGCUUAGUUGGCUAUAGCGUCCGACUGUUAGGUUGCAGGUCAACACUUGCCUAAAUCGGAAGGUCGAGAGUUCGAGCCUCUCUGGGGCAG